GAUGAACGCUGGCGGCGUGCCUAAUACAUGCAAGUCGAGCGAACAGGCGAUGAUCUUGCUCCUCUCACGUUAGCGGCGCACGGGAGUAUAACACGUGUAAAACCCACCUAUCAUACUGAUAUAACUUCGGGAAACCGGAGCUAAUACCGUAGAAUAUCUUGAACCGCAGGGUUCGAUAGUGAGAGACGGUUUUUCGGGCUCGUAUAGAGGGUUCCGCGCCGCAUUAGAUAGUUGUUAAGUUAACGGCUUAUGAAGGGUACGAUGCGUAGCCGACCUGAGAGGGUGGUCGGCGACACUGGAACUGAGACAGGGUCAAGAGGACUACGGGAGGCAGCAGUCGGCAAUCUUACGCAAUGGGCGAAAGCAUGACGGAGCAACGGGAAGUGAGUGACGACAGUGUUCGGUUCGUAAAAAUGUGUUAUUAGGGAAGAACAAAUGUGUCAGUAAAUAUGGCCGUAUUGACGGUAACUGGUAAGAAAGCAACGGCUAACUACGUG
rnacentral:rRNA from 1 species